rnacentral:rRNA from 1 species
GACGAACGCUGGCGGCGUGCCUAAUACAUGCAAGUCGAACGCAGAGGGGACGGGUGAGUAACACGUGGGUAACCUCCCAUCAGAGGGGAUAACACUUGGAAACAGGUGCUAAACCGCUACUGAUGGAUGGCCCCGCGGUGCAUUAGCUAGUUGGUAAGGUAACGGCUCGACAAGGCCACGAUGCAUAGCCGACCAGGAAGUGUGAUAGGCCACACUUGGACUGAGACACGGCCCGGACUCCAACGGGACGCAGCAGUGGGGAAUCUUCGGCAAUGGACGAAAGUCUGACCGAGCAAUGCCGCGUGAGUGAAGAAGGUUUUCGGAUCGUAAAACUCUGUUGUUAGAGAAGCGGUAUCUAACCAGAAAGCCACGGCUAACUACGUGCCAGCAGCCGCGGUAAUAC